UACAGAGGGUGCGAGCGUUGUUCGGAAUUAUUGGGCGUAAAGCGCAUGUAGGCGGGUUGUUAAGUCGCGUGUGAAAGCCCCAGGCUCAACCUGGGAAGUGCGCGCGAAACUGGCGACCUUGAGUGCUGGAGAGGGUGGCGGAAUUCCCGGUGUAGAGGUGAAAUUCGUUAGAUAUCGGGAGGAACACCAGAGGCGAAGGCGGCCACCUGGAC
rnacentral:rRNA from 1 species